rnacentral:sRNA from 1 species
UUUUUGCGACAGGGAUUGCAGCGGCAUCCUUUUGUGGAGCUUCAGCGGAACAAAAGAUAUAGCGGAAAGCCCGCCCGGUC